GUUAUAUCGAGAAUUAGCCAGUGUCCAGUAUGACGCGACUCCACGCGCCAACAAGAACGUAAUUACCAUUUGCGAUUCAAGUCAACGGGAGACGGAUACAAGACCAAAAGAGAUGUUAGCCAAACAAAGAUGUCAAUGACGGAAUGCCGCGUAUUGGUUAAAAGCGGUUUAUGCCAGACUCAAUCACCCGAGACAUCGGAGAAUGCAUUUGAAUUAUUAAACUGAUCAGACAUCAACUA